AAUCUCUCCUCUCUUCCGUUUUCUCUAAUCUCAGCUCGACACUGCCUUCCUUCUGCGGCCACGACCCAUCUGCUCGCCGGGGCCAUGUACCUGUGCCACAUCCCCCCUAACUCCCUCUCUGCUCGGGGACGCCGGCUAUUUCCUUGGAGCUCCGGCGAGCAGAUUCUCUGCGCCACGCUGCGCCGUCAAGGACGCAAGUACAGGUGGACCUCUUGCAGGUCUCCAUGGAGGAACGAGUUCAUCGACGAAGAUACCUGCUGGUACAUGGUGCGAGAUGUAGUUCGCAUGAAGCUUAAUUUUGAUUUCCAUGUCGCUGUUUCAGGUACGCAUUUGGUUGCGAGCCUAACUCGCAGAGAAGGUUCUCGGACACCUGGGCGCCAGGAGUCUUGUUCGCCGCGGCCGCCACUGCGUGUGCGUGGAACGCCUGUCGCCGUGCUCUCUCCGAGCUGACGAGUACACUCUGCGAGAGCUUUCUUGAUUGGAUCCUCUCCUUUGAGACCACGACACCAGACGGCGUCAGGAUGCAAUGCAGAAGCAGCAAGGCGGAGAGGAAGGAGGCGCAGACGCUGGUAGCUCUCAUGGCCUUGUGCUGGCGUUUUUGCCGGGGGGGCCUGAUAGAAGCUACUGGUGAGUGAAUGAUGGGAUCAACUGAGAAGCGAGGACCAGGAACUCAAGCCGUUGCUCUUAUAAAAGCUUCCAUGUGAGUACAGUCAGCACCGAGAGCGAGAGGUUAGAGAUCCGGCCUCAGGAGCUCCCAUGAUUGUGUUUGAUUUAGCAUGUGACGGGCGCGUACCAACGGUUCAUGUACCAACUCGCAUUUUUAUCUUUUGCGUGAGUGCCCAUUCGGCGAUUGUGGGCGGCACAUGGAGCCAUAUAUAGAUUGCAUCCACUUUCA